rnacentral:misc_RNA from 1 species
GUACUUUCACAUUGGGUGCUCCAUUGCACAAAAGAAGAUAAAUAUUUGCUAUUACUUCUUUCUAUCAUCUCUCUCUCUCUCUUUCCGUCUUUCCCUCCUUCCUUCCCAUCUUUAACCUUCAAAGGACUUCCUUGCUUCUGGUGCUUUGAAAAGAAAAUCUGAGGUUCUUGUUUACCCUCUACUCUAUUUUCUUUAAACCAGUUCUGUUCUUUCAAUCUUUUCACUUGAUACAAUCCUUCUACACAGAACAAAGCCUCUAAGUUCCAUUUAUUUACUGUUUUCAGUAUCUUCUUCCUUGGGUUCUCCCUGAAAAGUUCUUGAGCUUUUUCUUGGGUUGCUUCCUCUUCAAGAUCUUAUCUUACUCUGCUUAAAAAAUAAGCUGAAAGAUUUUUUUUUUCCUCCUGAGAAAGUGAUGGGAAAAUAUUCUCAGAAUUUUCAAGGAAAUAAAUUUGUAUUAAGGUACGAGUAAUUGUUCCCUAGCAUCAAGUCUCUUGACUCUAGCUUACAAUUUUAGAAAAGAAACAAGUUAAAACAGAGCAAACAGAGCAUUUGUUCAUGGAUUCGAGUAGCAAUCACAGUUAUCACAACCAGAACAGUCAAUCCUGUUCUGGGUUGUUGCGGUUUCGAUCAGCUCCAAGCUCACUUCUUGCAAAUUUCAAUGAUAAUGGAGGUAGCAAUGAUUCUGUUAUGAGUUUCCAAGUAUUCGAGGAUAGAUCUGCAGUAAGAGUGAGAGAGCCACCUCUCAAUUAUGCAAAUUCUCCGCAGAAUUACACCGGUUUGCCUCCUCAUUACCCAAGACAAAGUUCAGCUACGACUUCUUCUGCUAUGGAUAGCUGUUAUGGUUUGAUAGGUUCAAUGGCAAUGGGUAAUCAUGAGCAAGCCAAAAGGUUUGAUUCAAAUCUUGCUAGACAGAAUAGCUCCCCUGCUGGACUUUUUGCUAACCUCUCUGUUCAAAAUGGUAUUUAUCUUGCUCUCAUUUUUAAAUGAAUCCCCUUAAGCUCACUAUGUGAUUUUUUAAGUUUUCCAUGGUUGAAAGUUCCUUAUUUCAUGGAUAAAUAUCGCUAGCCAUACCUUUAAAUUUGCUUGUAUUCUUGAGAUAUGUGUAUUAAAGAAAUUAUUAUGAGAAGCUCAUUACCUUAGAGAGUGGAAUGGAUGAUGAUUCACUGCAUCUUAAAAUGUAAAAAAUUUAUAUUCUAUAGAUGAGUUUGAGCAAUCGAUGGAGCUAAGAUGCAACUGAGCAGUGAAAAGAUGAAGAAAUUGAAGAAAAAUGGAGUCUUAAAGAAAAGAAAUAUGUCUGUAUAUGGCUUAGUUAAGAUGGUUUAAUGUUAUGAGUUUUGAUGUCAUCAUGUAACCAAAAUCUUACAGCAAAUUUCAAUUCAAAAAAAUUUUAUUGAGAUCAUGUAUGGUUUGUUUUUGUAUUAUAAAUUCCUCAUUCUGGUAAGUGGAGAGAAAUAUAAUGGCAGAAGCCUUAUUAAAGAUUACAAAGUAGAAGGAAAUAUUGAAGAUCUCUCCAGUAUAUUGCAGGCUAUGCCACCGUGAAAGGCAUGGGGAACUACGCUGGGAUGAAUGGUACAAAUGGAGAAGUAAGUCCAAGAUUAAAGAGCCAACUUAGCUUCCCAGCAAGAGCGCCUUCUUCUUUGGGGAUGUUGUCUCAGAUAUCAGCAAUCGAGAGUGAAAGUAUUGAUGCAGCGAGCCCUGAUAGUGGAAAGCUCAGAAAUGGCAACUGUGACAGUCGAUUUUAUAACAGUACUGGGUACCCAUAUGGAUCUUGGAAUGAUUCACAUUUUCCAGAAAAUUUUAAUGGCAUGAAAAGAGAUCCGGAUGAUAAUGGAAAGCUAUUUUCUAACAUUCAGAAUGGAGAGCUUGGAAAUGGCGUUCAUGUAUUAUCAAACAACUUGAGUUUGCCAAAGGCAACAGUGGAUAUGGUUGCCGUGGAAAAGUUCCUCCAUUUCCAAGAUUCUGUUCCUUGCAAAAUUAGGGCAAAGCGCGGAUGUGCCACUCAUCCACGAAGUAUUGCAGAAAGAGUGAGUUUCUUUAUAUUAUAUCAUGUAUGUUCUGUUUUGAAAAUAGCAUCUAUCAAUCAAACAAUGAAUGUCUGUAACAUGUCACUGCAGUGAUAGUCUUGGGCUUAUGCUUAAUCUGUGAACAUCAUUGGUUUUCAACUGUAUAGUGCUGUAGUUUAUAUUGGUUGAUCUAAUGAGGUCAAGCGAGACUGUUAAGAGGCUACGUUCUGCAAUUUUUUUUCCAGGUGAGAAGAACCCGGAUCAGUGAAAGAAUGAAGAAACUACAAGAGCUUGUUCCAAACAUGGACAAGCAAGCAAACACGGCGGACAUGUUAGAUUUGGCUGUUGGGUACAUCAAAGAUCUUCAGAAGCAAUACAAGACUCUCAUUGACAACCGAGCGAACUGCAAGUGUUUGAGUAAGCAGAAGCCAGUUCAAAGCCAAAUUGUUUGACAUGCUUGUGUAAAGAAAAUAAGGGAUGCGGAUAGGAACCAGUUCUUGUAUGUCUUUUUCUGUGCAAUGAUCAAGUAUAUACAAGCAAGAUAUUUUCUUCUUUCCAAAAGGCCAGCAUAGCAAGUUGAGUAGAAUUUUCACUGCAAAAUUAUGAUACGGAAGCUAACAAAGCUUCCAAUUACACAAUACCUGAAAUAAAGAGAGAAACUUACAGUACAUGUCCUUUUAAUGCAUUAAUUCCUUGUUAUAUUUAUCUUGUGUAAGCUAGACACUUCAAUCAAGGGCUUUCCCUUCACACGUCUGUAGUUCUUUAGAAGUAGUUCAGUCGUCUAAUCUUGGUGAUGCAUGUCCGGUAGAGGUGAAAUUCUUGGGAUAAACUACUAUUUAGCCUCUGCUUUAGAGCAUAUUUAACAAUUUGGUUCUCCUAUUUUCAUAAAUAGCCAAAUUGGUGAUGCUUAUAGAAAAUACGUUGCCAAGUUAAUGUUACUGAUGUAAAGGUGUACUGUCGCAAAAAUAUGGAGCGACAGACAGUUAUAGCCUAAAUUAAAU